GUACGGAUCUCUCUUUGAAGGACAGAACAGUAAUUACAGAUUCCUCUAUUCCCCCAUAAGAACCCAGUGUCUCGACAUGGUGGAGAACAGUCUCUUCUUCCGAGGACAAGGCUCAUGCCCCAGUUUCCAGGAUUGUUAGAUUCGUUAAACAAGCUGGUGAUCCAGGAAAUAAAAAUUGCAAUGAUACAUAGCACAUUCGAGUAGAAUAGGAGACGCCAUAUCUACUAAAAGCUGAAAUGGCUUCUCUUUCAGUCUUCUCAUGUCAACAAAUUUGCUGGCAUGGACCUGUUUUGAUUUCCAUAACUAGAGAACUUGCUUUGGUUUGAUGAUAUGCAGAAUGUCAAAACCUUGCAGCCAUCAUGCCGUAUCUUUUGCUUAGAAAGAAACAAACAAACAGGCGAGGAACAAAUUAUGCAAGUGAGAUUACAGAGAGGUUAAGCAUUUUGUCACGUACUACUGAGACAUACAUGUUGUGCACCAUAUACAUAUAGUAGUAAACCAUCAACAAGACCCUUGUAUCACUCUCUUGCCAAAAGAAUAUCAUUUCUUUCAUUCUAGCAUGUGAAUUUCUCACAUGUCCGCUACAAAAUGAGGGAAGAUUCCCAUUAUUAACCUCAUCAAGGGGUUUUUCAGCUUUUUUGAAAAAUGAGAGAAGCCAGUUGGAGGGAAACCUCUAAGAAAAUUGUUUAAUAAUGUUCACUACUGAUCGCAUUAUUCCACAUCAAAUGAUUUAACAUGUUGCAAAG